rnacentral:rRNA from 1 species
CCUACGGGAGGCAGCAGUAGGGAAUAUUGCACAAUGGGCGAAAGCCUGAUGCAGCAACGCCGCGUGCGCGACGAAGGCCUUCGGGUCGUAAAGCGCUUUUCGGGGAGACGAGGAAGGACGGUAUCCCCGGAAUAAGGCUCGGCUAACUACGUGCCAGCAGCCGCGGUAAAACGUAGGAGCCAAGCGUUAUCCGAAUUCACUGGGCGUAAAGCGCGUGCAGGCGGCCUGGUAAGUUGGAUGUGAAAGCUCCUGGCUCAACUGGGAGAGGACGUUCAAUACUGUCAGGCUCGAGGGCAGCAGAGGGAGGUGGAAUUCCCGGUGUAGUGGUGAAAUGCGUAGAUAUCGGGAGGAACACCAGAGGCGAAGGCGACCUCCUGGGCCGUACCUGACGCCCAGACGCGAAAGCCAGGGGAGCAAGCGGGAUUAGAAACCCCGGUAGUCCUGGCCGUAAACGAUGUAGACUUGGUGUAGGAGGUGUAAAAACCGACUGUGCCGGAGCCAACGCGAUAAGUCUACCGCCUGGGGACUACGGCCGCAAGGUUAAAACUCAAAGGAAUUGACGG